rnacentral:rRNA from 3 species
GAGUUUGAUCGUGGCUCAGAUUGAACGCUGGCGGCAUGCCUUACACAUGCAAGUCGAACGGCAGCACGGGAGCUUGCUCCUGGUGGCGAGUGGCGAACGGGUGAGUAAUGCAUCGGAACGUAUCCUGGAGUGGGGGAUAACGUAGCGAAAGUUACGCUAAUACCGCAUAUUCUGUGAGCAGGAAAGCGGGGGACCUUCGGGCCUCGCGCUCUUGGAGCGGCCGAUGUCGGAUUAGCUAGUUGGUGAGGUAAAGGCUCACCAAGGCGACGAUCCGUAGCAGGUCUGAGAGGAUGAUCUGCCACACUGGAACUGAGACACGGUCCAGACUCCUACGGGAGGCAGCAGUGGGGAAUUUUGGACAAUGGGGGCAACCCUGAUCCAGCCAUGCCGCGUGAGUGAAGAA